rnacentral:tRNA from 1 species
GGGGAUGUAGCUCAGCUGGUAGAGCGCCUGCUUUGCAAGCAGGAGGCCGCCGGUUCGAUCCCGGCCAUCUCCA